AGGGGCUGGCAGUGAGGGUCUCCAUCUGCCAAGCCCCCAGCCCUUCAGCUGCCCUUUCAGAUGGGUGGGGUAGGGCUGUGCCAGCCCCACCCUGGCAGGCAGCACUCUGGUGGGUGGAAGAACAGUUCAUUUCUCUGCCCUCCUUCUUCCUUUGCUCCCCCGAGGCUGUUGUUUCUGGCAGCUCUGUUAUCUCGGCACUGGGAGGGGCUUUCUGACUCUCUCAGCAAACAGGCAGGUUGGUCUCAGCAUGAACCUCAACCAUCUCGUCCUCAUUGUCUGCCUGGACCACCUCCUGGGCACCAUGGGGCAGAUCAUUGUCACCCAGGAAGAUGGACAAGUCCUGGUGAAGGAGAAAGGCCUCUUCCAGACCACCUGUACAUACCAGAGCAGUAACUUUGCUGGAUUGUGGUGGUACCAGCAGAGGAAAGGACAAGCCCCACAGCUGCUCUCCUCCCAGGCAGGGGCUGGCCAGAGGCAGAGCGGCCGUAUCAGCACGUUGCUGAACACCACGGGCAAAUACAGUGUCCUGCAGGUGGAGGCAGUGGAGGUCUCUGACAGUGCCUUGUACCUGUGUGCUGUGCGAGACACCCUGGUGCAGGGAGCUUCCUGGGCUGUGCAACAAGCCAGGGGAGGGAGGGGAUGUGUCUGGGCAAGGCUGAGCUGGGGGCAAGGGACCCACAGGUUACCCCCAUGCUCACCUUGAUUUCAUCCUCACAUGUGUGCAAUGAGCUGAUGAUUUGAUCCCAUCCAUGCUAACGUUGCCAUCAGGAAAGUGCUCUGGACUAUUGUGAUUCAUCUCCACUUUGUGCAGUCUCUGAAUAAACACAAAGUGCCCUGUG